UGAGAUUUGAUCUCAAAACAAUUUUCUGUUCCCCAAACUAUUUAAUGUUAUGAACAGAGUACCAUGUGCGAAAGUUUUUUUUAAAUCACGUUGUUUACAAGGAACGUCAAGGCGAGGAGGGGGAAGUAACGGAAAUAUGCAGAUAAAUGCUAGAACGCGCCAAUAGGAUCUUGCUAGUUCGUGAUAGGCUCUAACCACCUCUUUCCUUGUUCUGCCCACUAUGACUAAUUUGUUCCCAUUGGAAACAACAGGCUGUGUCUAUCUUGGUCUAGUUAUAACAAAUCUUUGCUAAAGUCAUUCCCAAAAAACAAUAGCACUUCCGGAAACAAACCUACGGAUCUGGCAGUGGGACAAUCUACACUACGCUCCUCUCUGGAGAGAUGUCUUUAUUUGAACAAAACCUUUGCAUGUUCUCACGUUGACUGUAAAAAAGGUUGAAAAUAUAAUCCGGCUAUUUUUAUAAAAUGGUGUAAAAUAUUUACAGGAAAUCUACACACCACUCAGUGCGUCACACAAAGCACUGUGUGCCGUGUCCAUAGAAGAAGAAGCCAUGUUCUGAUCAAUCUUGUAAGUUAUAUUCGAAAUAAUAAUCGAUUGUAAAUGUAUAUGAGUGUUGGUUGAAGAUGUCUGCCACCCACAUGUCGAACGAAGGGUUUCAAAUUCAGUUCGCCUCUGUUAUGGAGAGUGUAUUGAAUACUGCAGUCACCGAGACAAUUAAACUUUUCGAAACAACUAUUGAGGAACUGCGAGCCGAAAUAUCCAGAAUAAAAAAGGAGAACAAGGACCUCAAAUCGAGGCGUCGAUCCCAUGAAAUAACGAAGAGAUGGACCGGUGAAAGUGAACGCCAAAACCACAGAGCCCAGACCAAGUCAAAGUGCAACACGUAUCGGAAAAUGUGACAUCGGCGUUCAAUGCGUUCUGACAAAGCAGGCUUUACCUCGGGCUGGGGAGCAGCACCUGCGGGAGGAGGACCAGGGGACUGUAGACUAUUCUGAUGACUACUCCCCUGGGUACAUACUGCUGAAGAAGGAGGGGGGCAGGCCCCCGACUCUGGUCCGCAGACAACCUCUCAGAGAGUUACCAGGCAGAGCCCUGGUUCCUCCUGGAGCCGUCUGGGCCCUGAUCAACCGUUACACCCAGGAAAGGCCUCCCACCACCCAGUCUACCUCAGGAGCCGCAGCGGCCGUCUUCCAGGGAGAUCCAGACACCCAGGAGGCCCCCCAGGCAAUAAUCUGAAGAGGCACAAACUGGUCCACAAUGGGGAGAAACCCUACACCUGCUCUGAGUGUGGCAAGCACUUCAAACAGACUGGCCAUCUGAAGAAACACCUGAAGACAAUACACAAAGACAGAUAGAGAGGCCAGGGGACGAGCCUUUAAUGGCACCCUAUUCCCUAUAUAGUGCACUAUGCAGGCUCUGGUCAAAAGUAGUGCACUAUAUACGAAUAGGGUGUAUAGAAGGGAAUAAUAGACAUUCUCCAUUUGUCAGUUCAAAACACAGCCAUAUAGGUUUUAAUGGGAUAUUGUGUGUAGUUUGGUGAGAAAAAAAAUACAUUUCAUUCAAUCUUGAAUUCUCACAGUGAUUAAUGACGCAGGGAUCUCAAUCUAUUCUCACAGUGACCGGGAAGGACUUGUUAUUUUAUGUUUUUCUGUACAGAUUGAUUACAAAAGUCAACGCUUUGGUUGCGUAAACAUUUGGGGCUACUUUUGUUGUUUGAAAGG